rnacentral:rRNA from 1 species
AGAGUUUGAUCCUGGCUCAGGAUGAACGCUGGCGGUAUGCCUAACACAUGCAAGUCGAACGGAAGUUUUUAAAACUUUAGUGGCGGACGGGUGAGUAACGCGUGAGAAUUUGCCUUUAGGAGGGGAGCAACAGUUAGAAAUGACUGCUAAUGCCCCAUAUGCUUUAAUAGUGAAAUGGAUUUAUCCGCCUGAAGAGAAGCUCGCGUCUGAUUAGCUAGUUGGUAAGGUAAUGGCUUACCAAGGCGACGAUCAGUAACUGGUUUGAGAGGAUGAUCAGUCACACUGGAACUGAGACACGGUCCAGACUCCUACGGGAGGCAGCAGUGGGGAAUUUUCCGCAAUGGGCGAAAGCCUGACGGAGCAAUACCGCGUGAGGGAUGAAGGCUUACUGAGUUGUAAACCUCUUUUUUCAAGGAAGAAGUUCUGACGUUACUUGAAGAAUAAGCAUCGGCUAACUCCGUGCCAGCAGCCGCGGUAAGACGGAGGAUGCAAGUGUUAUCCGGAAUCACUGGGCGUAAAGCGUCUGCAGGUGGUUUUUUAAGUCCGAUGUUAAAACUCGAGGCUCAACCUCGAUCCAGCAUUGGAAACUGAAAGACUAGAGUAUAGUAGGGAUAGAGGGAAUUUCCAGUGGAGCGGUGAAAUGCGUAGAUAUUGGAAAGAACACCGAUGGCGAAAGCACUCUAUUGGGCUAUUACUGACACUCAGAGACGAAAGCUAGGGGAGCAAAUGGGAUUAGAUACCCCAGUAGUCCUAGCCGUAAACGAUGGAUACUCGAUGUUGGACGUAUCGACCCGUUCAGUAUC